rnacentral:rRNA from 1 species
CCUACGGGAGGCAGCAGUCGGGAAUAUUGGACAAUGGGGGCAACCCUGAUCCAGCAAUACCGCGUGUGUGAAGAAGGCCUGCGGGUUGUAAAGCACUUUUAGUAGGGAAGAUAAUGACGUUACCUACAGAAAAAGCACCGGCUAACUCCGUGCCAGCAGCCGCGGUAAU